rnacentral:rRNA from 1 species
AUUGAACGCUGGCGGCAGGCCUAACACAUGCAAGUCGAACGGUAACAGGAAGCAGCUUGCUGCUUCGCUGACGAGUGGCGGACGGGUGAGUAAUGUCUGGGAACCUGCCUGAUGGAGGGGGAUAACUACUGGAAACGGUAGCUAAUACCGCAUAACGUCGCAAGACCAAAGAGGGGGACCUUCGGGCCUCUUGCCAUCGGAUGUGCCCAGAUGGGAUUAGCUAGUAGGUGGGGUAACGGCUCACCUAGGCGACGAUCCCUAGCUGGUCUGAGAGGAUGACCAGCCACACUGGAACUGAGACACGGUCCAGACUCCUACGGGAGGCAGCAGUGGGGAAUAUUGCACAAUAGGCGCAAGCCUGAUGCAGCCAUGCCGCGUGUAUGAAGAAGGCCUUCGGGUUGUAAAGUACUUUCAGCGGGGAGGAAGGGAGUAAAGUUAAUACCUUUGCUCAUUGACGUUACCCGCAGAAGAAGCACCGGCUAACUCCGUG